rnacentral:rRNA from 1 species
UACGUAGGGUGCGAGCGUUGUCCGGAAUUAUUGGGCGUAAAGGGCGCGUAGGCGGCUUGGCAAGUGGAUGGUGAAAUCCCUCGGCUUAACCGAGGAACUGCCGUCCAAACUGCUUCGCUUGAGACCGGGAGAGGUGAGUGGAAUUCCCAGUGUAGCGGUGAAAUGCGUAGAUAUUGGGAGGAACACCAGUGGCGAAGGCGGCUCACUGGACCGGUACUGACGCUGAUGCGCGAAAGCGUGGGGAGCAAACGGGG